rnacentral:rRNA from 1 species
AUUGAACGCUGGCGGCAGGCCUAACACAUGCAAGUCGAGCGGUAGCACAGAGAGCUUGCUCUCGGGUGACGAGCGGCGGACGGGUGAGUAAUGUCUGGGAAACUGCCUGAUGGAGGGGGAUAACUACUGGAAACGGUAGCUAAUACCGCAUAAUGCCGCAAGACCAAAGAGGGGGACCUUCGGGCCUCUUGCCAUCAGAUGUGCCCAGAUGGGAUUAGCUAGUAGGUGGGGUAACGGCUCACCUAGGCGACGAUCCCUAGCUGGUCUGAAAGGAUGACCAGCCACACUGGAACUGAGACACGGUCCAGACUCCUACGGGAGGCAGCAGUGGGGAAUAUUGCACAAUGGGCGCAAGCCUGAUGCAGCCAUGCCGCGUGUAUGAAGAAGGCCUUCGGGUUGUAAAGUACUUUCAGCGGGGAGGAAGGUGUUGUGGUUAAUCACCACAGCAAUUGACGUUACCCGCAGAAGAAGCACCGGCUAACUCCGUGCCAGCCGCCGCAGUAACAC